rnacentral:rRNA from 1 species
GGUGGAAACUGCCUGGCUUGGGACCGGAAGACCAGAGGGGUACGUCUGGGGUAGGAGUGAAAUCCCGUAAUCCUGGACGGACCACCGGUGGCGAAAGCGCCUCUGGAAGACGGAUCCGACGGUGAGGGACGAAAGCUCGGGUCACGAACCGGAUUAGAUACCCGGGUAGUCCGAGCUGUAAACGAUGUCUGCUAGGUGUGCCACAGGCUACGAGCCUGUGGUGUGCCGCAGGGAAGCCGUGAAGCAGACCGCCUGGGAAGUACGUCCGCAAGGAUGAAACUUAAAGGAAUUGGCGGGGGAGCACUACAACCGGAGGAGCCUGCGGUUUAAUUGGACUCAACGCCGGACAUCUCACCAGCAUCGACAGUAGGAGUGACGGUCAGUGUGAUGAGCUUACCAGACCUACUGAGAGGAGGUGCAUGGCCGCCGUCAGCUCGUACCGUGAGGCGUCCUGUUAAGUCAGGCAACGAGCGAGACCCGCACUCCUAAUUGCCAGCAACACCCUUGUGGUGGUUGGGUACAUUAGGAGGACUGCCAGUGCCAAACUGGAGGAAGGAACGGGCAACGGUAGGUCAGUAUGC